rnacentral:rRNA from 1 species
UACGGAAGGGGCAAGCGUUGUUCGGAAUCAUUGGGCGUAAAGGGCGCGUAGGUGGUUCUGUAUGUCUACCGUGAAAGCGUACGGCUCAACUGUAUUUUGUCGGUGGAAACUGCAGGACUUGAGGCUGGGAGGGGCUGGUGGAAUUCCCUGUGUAGCGGUGAAGUGCGUAGAGAUGGGGGAGAACACUCGUGGCGAAGGCGGCCAGCUAGACCAGUUCUGACACUGAGGCGCGACAGCGUGGGGAGCAAACAGG